ACUUAAGCGUGCUUGGGCGAGAGUAGUACUAGGAUGGGUGACCUCCUGGGAAGUCCUCGUGUUGCAUUCCAUUUAUGUCGUUUCUUUUUUCAAAAGAAAGGUCUUUCUUUUUAUUUUUGGCCGUUCCUUUGUCAUAUUUUCUCCGCGUUCCUAGGCGGCGCCGUCGAAGGAGCUAUGGCCGGCCCGUACACGGAGGCGCGAGCAUAAAGGGGAGGAGAACGCACGGUAUGUCGGAUGCGAUCAUACCAGCACUAAAGCACCGGAUCCCAUCAGAACUCCGAAGUUAAGCGUGCUUGGGCGAGAGUAGUACUAGGAUGGGUGACCUGAUGGGAAGUCCUCGUGUUGCAUUCCUUUUUUUUGUUUGUUUUUUCAAAAGAAAGGUCUUUCUUUUUAUUUUUGGCCGUUCCUUUGUCAUAUUUUCUCCGCGUUCCUAGGCGGCGCCGUCGAAGGAGCUAUGGGCGGGCCGUACACGGAGGCGUUUGUUUUUUCAAAAGAAAGGUCUUUCUUUUUAUUUUUGGCCGUUCCUUUGUCAUAUUUUCUCCGCGUUCCUAGGCGGCGCCGUCGAAGGAGCUAUGGGCGGGCCGUACACGGAGGCGCGGGCAUAAAGGGGAGGAGAACGCACGGUAUGUCGGAUGCGAUCAUACCAGCACUAAAGCACCGGAUCCCAUCAGAACUCCGAAGUUAAGCGUGCUUGGGCGAGAGUAGUACUAGGAUGGGUGACCUCCUGGGAAGUCCUCGUGUUGCAUUCCUUUUUUUUGUUUGUUUUUUCAAAAGAAAGGUCUUUCUUUUUAUUUUUGGCCGUUAAUUUGUCAUAUUUUCUCCGCGUUCCUAGGCGGCGCCGUCGAAGGAGCUAUGGGCGGGCCGUACACGGAGGCGUUUGUUUUUUCAAAAGAAAGGUCUUUCUUUUUAUUUUUGGCCGUUCCUUUGUCAUAUUUUCUCCGCGUUCCUAGACGGCGCCGUCGAAGGAGCUAUGGGCGGGCCGUACACGGAGGCGCGGGCAUAAAGGGGAGGAGAACGCACGGUAUGUCGGAUGCGAUCAUACCAGCACUAAAGCACCGGAUCCCAUCAGAACUCCGAAGUUAAGCGUGCUUGGGCGAGAGUAGUACUAGGAUGGGUGACCUCCUGGGAAGUCCUCGUGUUGCAUUGCUUUUUUUUGUUUGUUUUUUCAAAAGAAAGGUCUUUCUUUUUAUUUUUGGCCGUUCCUUUGUCAUAUUUUCUCCGCGUUCCUAGGCGGCGCCGUCGAAGGAGCUAUGGGCGGGCCGUACACGGAGGCGCGGGCAUAAAGGGGAGGAGAACGCACGGUAUGUCGGAUGCGAUCAUACCAGCACUAAAGCACCGGAUCCCAUCAGAACUCCGAAGUUAAGCGUGCUUGGGCGAGAGUAGUACUAGGAUGGGUGACCUCCUGGGAAGUCCUCGUGUUGCAUUCCUUUUUUUUGUUUGUUUUUUCAAAAGAAAGGUCUUUCUUUUUAUUUUUGGCCGUUCCUUUGUCAUAUUUUCUCCGCGUUCCUAGGCGGCGCCGUCGAAGGAGCUAUGGGCGGGCCGUACACGGAGGCGCGGGCAUAAAGGGGAGGAGAACGCACGGUAUGUCGGAUGCGAUCAUACCAGCACUAAAGCACCGGAUCCCAUCAGAACUCCGAAGUUAAGCGUGCUUGGGCGAGAGUAGUACUAGGAUGGGUGACCUCCUGGGAAGUCCUCGUGUUGCAUUCCUUUUUUUUGUUUGUUUUUUCAAAAGAAAGGUCUUUCUUUUUAUUUUUGGCCGUUCCUUUGUCAUAUUUUCUCCGCGUUCCUAGGCGGCGCCGUCGAAGGAGCUAUGGGCGGGCCGUACACGGAGGCGUUUGUUUUUUCAAAAGAAAGGUCUUUCUUUUUAUUUUUGGCCGUUCCUUUGUCAUAUUUUCUCCGCGUUCCUAGGCGGCGCCGUCGAAGGAGCUAUGGGCGGGCCGUACACGGAGGCGCGGGCAUAAAGGGGAGGAGAACGCACGGUAUGUCGGAUGCGAUCAUACCAGCACUAAAGCACCGGAUCCCAUCAGAACUCCGAAGUUAAGCGUGCUUGGGCGAGAGUAGUACUAGGAUGGGUGACCUCCUGGGAAGUCCUCGUGUUGCAUUCCUUUUAUUUGUUUGUUUUUUCAAAAGAAAGGUCUUUCUUUUUAUUUUUGGCCGUUCCUC
rnacentral:lncRNA from 1 species